UGUCAGUAUGUGUGUGUCAGUAUGUCUGUCUGUGUGUGUCAGUAUGUCUGGCACACACACACAGACAGACAUAUUGACACACAUACUGACA
rnacentral:miRNA from 1 species